GACGAACGCUGGCGGCGUGCCUAAUACAUGCGAGUAGAACGCUGAAGAGAGGAGCUUGCUCUUCUUGGAUGAGUUGCGAACGGGUGAGUAACGCGUAGGUAACCUGCCUUGUAGCGGGGGAUAACUAUUGGAAACGAUAGCUAAUACCGCAUAACAAUGGAUGACACAUGUCAUUUAUUUGAAAGGGGCAAUUGCUCCACUACAAGAUGGACCUGCGUUGUAUUAGCUAGUAGGUGAGGUAAUGGCUCACCUAGGCGACGAUACAUAGCCGACCUGAGAGGGUGAUCGGCCACACUGGGACUGAGACACGGCCCAGACUCCUACGGGAGGCAGCAGUAGGGAAUCUUCGGCAAUGGGGGCAACCCUGACCGAGCAACGCCGCGUGAGUGAAGAAGGUUUUCGGAUCGUAAAGCUCUGUCGUAAGUCAAGAACGGGUGUGAGAGUGGAAAGUUCACACUGUGACGGUAGCUUACCAGAAAGGGACGGCUAACUACGUG
rnacentral:rRNA from 1 species